rnacentral:rRNA from 1 species
AUUGAACGCUGGCGGCAUGCUUUACACAUGCGAGUCGAACGGUAACAGGCCGCAAGGUGCUGACGAGUGGCGAACGGGUGAGUAAUGCAUCGGAACGUGCCCAGUCGUGGGGGAUAACUACUCGAAAGAGUAGCUAAUACCGCAUACGAUCUAUGGAUGAAAGCGGGGACCGUAAGGCCUCGCGCGAUUGGAGCGGCCGAUGUCAGAUUAGGUAGUUGGUGGGGUAAAGGCUCACCAAGCCAACGAUCUGUAGCUGGUCUGAGAGGACGACCAGCCACACUGGGACUGAGACACGGCCCAGACUCCUACGGGAGGCAGCAGUGGGGAAUUUUGGACAAUGGGCGCAAGCCUGAUCCAGCAAUGCCGCGUGCAGGAAGAAGGCCUUCGGGUUGUAAACUGCUUUUGUACGGAACGAAACGGCUCUGGUUAAUACCCGGGGCUAAUGACGGUACCGUAAGAAUAAGCACCGGCUAACUACGUG